rnacentral:rRNA from 1 species
UACGUAGGGUGCAAGCGUUAAUCGGAAUUACUGGGCGUAAAGCGUGCGCAGGCGGCUUUGCAAGACAGAUGUGAAAUCCCCGGGCUUAACCUGGGAACUGCGCUUGUUACUGGCAGACUGGAGUGUGGCAGAGGGGGGGUGGAAUUCCAGGUGUAGCAGUGAAAUGCGUAGAUAUCUGGAGGAACACCGAUGGCGAAGGCAGCCCCCUGGGCUAACACUGACGCUGAUGCACGAAAGCGUGGGGAGCAAACAGG